UCGUACGAGAAAUUCCGAUUCGUCGGGAGAGUAAAGUGGCGAACGGGUGAGUAACACUAGGGUAAUCUCCCCUUAAAUAAGGGAUAACGUUGCGAAAGCGACGCUAAUACCUUAUAAGACUACGAUCUCUUAGGAGAUAGUAGGAAAAGAUGGCCUCUGUUUCAAGCUAUCGUUUAAGGAUGAGCCCUAGCACUAUUAGCUAGUUGGUGAGGUAAUGGCUCACCAAGGCGACAAUGGUUAGCUGGUCUGAGAGGAUGGCCAGCCACACUGGAACUGAGACACGGUCCAGACUCCUACGGGAGGCAGCAGUGAGGAAUAUUGCGCAAUGGGGGCAACCCUGACGCAGUGACGCCGCGUGAGUGAUGAAGGCUUUCGAGUCGUAAAGCUCUGUUAGGUGGAAAGAAACAUCCCGGCGCUAAUAUCGUCGGGACUUGACGGUACCACCAGAGGAAGCACCGGCUAACUCCGUGCCAGCAGCCGCGGUAAUACGGAGGGUGCAAGCGUUGUUCGGAUUUACUGGGCGUAAAGGGCGUGUAGGCGGUUGGUUAAGUCAGAUGUGAAAUCCCUUAGCUUAACUAAGGAACGGCAUUUGAAACUAGCCAACUGGAGUACAGGAGAGGAAAGUGGAAUUCCCAGUGUAGAGGUGAAAUUCAUAGAUAUUGGGAGGAACACCGGUAGCGAAGGCGGCUUUCUGGCCUGAUACUGACGCUGA
rnacentral:rRNA from 1 species